UCUCUCUCCCUGCGUCUCUCUCUCUCCUGAGCCACUCUCUCUCGCCGCCCUCUCCCUCACGAAUCUCUCUCUUCCUCGCCGUUUCCGGCCACCUCCGCGGGUCGCUCCGCCAGUCCCCGCCGUCUCCCUCCGGUUCUCUCCCUCCUUUCUCCCUGAUUCUUUCUCCCUUUCCCAGCCCCACUGUUGCGUGUGUUUCCGUGUGUGUAUAUAUAGCGUGUCUUUGUGUGUAUAUACCAGUGUGUGUGUAUUGUGUGUGCUGGUAUGUGGUGUACAGGGGCCAGGAGGGGUGUGGGUGAGUGUAUAGGAGGUGUGAGUGUGUGCGUGAGUUCUUGUGUGUGUUUGGCUUAGUGGGUUUGGCCGUAUUUGUCAUGUGCUCCCGCCUUCUGGAGAUAUGGUGGAGGAAGGUGCUGCGUUGCGCCAGUGGCGUAAAGACAAGCACUCCAGAAGGACCAGAACCCUGUAUCCUUGUAUCUAAUUGAUGCUCUGUUUUUUAUUUCCGCUGUUGUUUCUAAUUCUCGUACUACGUGUACUAUUCUUUUUAUAUUAAUAUUCAUCUUUUAUGUGUGUGGGUUGUUCUUGUACUGCUAAUUGCCAUGGAUGCAGGAGCUUCUUGCCUAACAAAGAUCAUAACAUCCAUGGUGGUUGAGAGAUCCAGAAGAGGAAGGGGCGGAAAAGAAGGGCGCAAAUUGGGCGAUAAUUGGACCUUAAUUAAGGAUAUUCAUUAUUCUUAAUUAAGGUUUUUUGUACCAUUUAUGGCGACCAUGAUUGGGGCAUUUUGGCCUAUAAAGGCAUUUAAGUGCCAUAAUGAUGUUUGAAAGAGACGGGAAUUUGGUGUCCUAGACAAUUGAGCUACAAAUAUGGAUAUAAAGGAAUAAAGAAGACAUCAUUUCAGUCUGUUUUGUAAUUGUAAUCGAUGUAAUUUUUGUAGGGCACUCUUUUUCCCCCUUGAGUUUUUUCCCACCGGGUUUUACUCUUGAGGGGUUUUAACGAGGCCCUUUUUUUGUGGGUUAUCUCUUCUGACUUGAAAGGCUAUGUUGUCUAAGCUUCCGGAGUAUUUACAUACUUUCGGUUAGAUGAUAUACCUUCUUGAAUGAAGGAAACUCUGUCCAUC